UACGGGGGGGGGCAAGCGUUGUUCGGAAUUACUGGGCGUAAAGGGCUCGUAGGUGGCCAACUAAGUCAGACGUGAAAUCCCUCAGCUUAACUGGGGAACUGCGUCUGAUACUGGAUGGCUUGAGUUUGGGAGAGGGAUGCGGAAUUCCAGGUGUAGCGGUGAAAUGCGUAGAUAUCUGGAGGAACACCGGUGGCGAAGGCGGCAUCCUGGACCGACACUGACGCUGAGGAGCGAAAGCCAGGGGAGCAAACGGGG
rnacentral:rRNA from 1 species